UCCUCAACCUGCUGCGGGCAGAUGAAGUGGAUAUGGCUGUCGAAACCGCCGGCCGUCAGGAUCUUGCCCUCGCCGGCGAUCGCCUCCGUACCGGGGCCGAUGACGAUUGUGACGCCCGGCUGCGUGUCGGGAUUGCCGGCCUUGCCGAUCGCCGCGAUUCGCCCGUCCCUCAGGCCGAUAUCGGCCUUGUAGAUGCCGGUAUGGUCGAGAACGAGCACGUUGGUGAUGACGGUGUCCACCGCGCCGUCGGCGCGGCUCGCCUGGCUUUGCCCCAUGCCGUCGCGGA
rnacentral:sRNA from 1 species